GUUAAUUAUCGCUUUAAAUUAUUGUAACUAGUCAACAUAAUAAUUUUCUGUAAAGUUUCUUCAAGGUCCCUUUAUGCAUCUAAUUGAUU